rnacentral:rRNA from 1 species
GGUUAAGCGACUAAGCGUACACGGUGGAUGCCCUGGCAGUCAGAGGCGAUGAAGGACGUGCUAAUCUGCGAUAAGCGUCGGUGAGGUGAUAUGAACCGUUAUAACCGGCGAUUUCCGAAUGGGGAAACCCAGUGUGUUUCGACACACUAUCAUUAACUGAAUCCAUAGGUUAAUGAGGCGAACCGGGGGAACUGAAACAUCUAAGUACCCCGAGGAAAAGAAAUCAACCGAGAUUCCCCCAGUAGCGGCGAGCGAACGGGGAGGAGCCCAGAGCCUGAAUCAGUGUGUGUGUUAGUGGAAGCGUCUGGAAAGGCGCGCGAUACAGGGUGACAGCCCCGUACACAAAAAUGCACAUACUGUGAGCUCGAUGAGUAGGGCGGGACACGUGGUAUCCUGUCUGAAUAUGGGGGGACCAUCCUCCAAGGCUAAAUACUCCUGACUGACCGAUAGUGAACCAGUACCGUGAGGGAAAGGCGAAAAGAACCCCGGCGAGGGGAGUGAAAAAGAACCUGAAACCGUGUACGUACAAGCAGUGGGAGCCUCUUAAUGGGGUGACUGCGUACCUUUUGUAUAAUGGGUCAGCGACUUAUAUUCUGUAGCAAGGUUAACCGAAUAGGGGAGCCGAAGGGAAACCGAGUCUUAACUGGGCGUUAAGUUGCAGGGUAUAGACCCGAAACCCGGUGAUCUAGCCAUGGGCAGGUUGAAGGUUGGGUAACACUAACUGGAGGACCGAACCGACUAAUGUUGAAAAAUUAGCGGAUGACUUGUGGCUGGGGGUGAAAGGCCAAUCAAACCGGGAGAUAGCUGGUUCUCCCCGAAAGCUAUUUAGGUAGCGCCUCGUGAAUUCAUCUCCGGGGGUAGAGCACUGUUUCGGCAAGGGGGUCAUCCCGACUUACCAACCCGAUGCAAACUGCGAAUACCGGAGAAUGUUAUCACGGGAGACACACGGCGGGUGCUAACGUCCGUCGUGAAGAGGGAAACAACCCAGACCGCCAGCUAAGGUCCCAAAGUCAUGGUUAAGUGGGAAACGAUGUGGGAAGGCCCAGACAGCCAGGAUGUUGGCUUAGAAGCAGCCAUCAUUUAAAGAAAGCGUAAUAGCUCACUGGUCGAGUCGGCCUGCGCGGAAGAUGUAACGGGGCUAAACCAUGCACCGAAGCUGCGGCAGCGACACUAUGUGUUGUUGGGUAGGGGAGCGUUCUGUAAGCCUGUGAAGGUGGCCUGUGAGGGUUGCUGGAGGUAUCAGAAGUGCGAAUGCUGACAUAAGUAACGAUAAAGCGGGUGAAAAGCCCGCUCGCCGGAAGACCAAGGGUUCCUGUCCAACGUUAAUCGGGGCAGGGUGAGUCGACCCCUAAGGCGAGGCCGAAAGGCGUAGUCGAUGGGAAACAGGUUAAUAUUCCUGUACU